CAGCAGCCGCGGUAAUACGAAGGGUGCAAGCGUUACUCGGAAUUACUGGGCGUAAAGCGUGCGUAGGUGGUGGUUUAAGUCUGUUGUGAAAUCCCCGGGCUCAACCUGGGAAUGGCAAUGGAUACUGGCAAGCUAGAGUGUGUCAGAGGAUGGUGGAAUUCCCGGUGUAGCGGUGAAAUGCGUAGAGAUCGGGAGGAACAUCAGUGGCGAAGGCGGCCAUCUGGGACAACACUGACGCUGAGGCACAAAAGCGUGGGGAGCAAACAGGAUUAGAUACCCCUGUAGUCCCUGUCUCUUAUAC
rnacentral:rRNA from 1 species